UAUUAAAAAUUAUAUUCAUUUUUCUUGUUAAAAACUGAUGUGACUGUAGAUAACUAGACAAUUACACGUGAUAUGUCAUGUGUAUCUUGUACUAACGUAUAAGGACCAGUUUUUUAUAAUAGAAACGUAUGAAAUUUUUAACA
rfam:Gossypium raimondii Chr13_contig_240, whole genome shotgun sequence.